rnacentral:rRNA from 1 species
UACAGAGGGUGCAAGCGUUGUUCGGAAUUACUGGGCGUAAGCGCGUGUAGGCGGCGUCGUUAGUCGGAUGUGAAGCCCUCGGCUCAACCGAGGAAGUGCAUCCGAUACUGCGAGGCUUGAGUGUUGGAGGGGUGGCGGAAUUCCCGGUGUGAGAGGUGAAAUUCGUAGAUAUCGGGAGGAACACCUGUGGCGAAGGCGGCCACCUGGACAAGCAACUGACGCUGAGACGCGAAAGCGUGGGUAGCAAACAGG